UGUACAGAGUUUGUUAAAUCCGCUCUUUUGCUCCCCGUUUACAUGGCUAAUAAUCUCCAAGCUGCUCUAAGCGGUGUUGUUUGUGUGAAUAUUGUUUUCCAUAAAGUUAAUAACCCCCCCUAAAACGAAAUAUGAAAUGACCUCUUCCCCUAUCGUUAAAGCGUGCGAUACAUUUUUAAAACCAGUGAUUUAAUUCAAAAUAUUUAGUACCUACAUUUUAACACAUGUUAUAAUUCCAAAUUAUGUGUCCGCUGUGCGGGGAAAAUGAUAAUACAAGCGGAACUACGUAGCUAAUACUGUUGUAACUGGGGAUCCUUAUUGUAGCAACACACUUUUGUAGGGAAGGCAAUCCUGCGCUGCGUUAGCAAAAUUUUCAUGUCAUCGGGUGUAGUUCAUAAAGGUUGAAGAGUGUAUGUUAGGAUGAAGUGUGAAUUCAUGCCAGGAAUAAUAAGUGUGAAGUUUGAUUUCCUCCCUUCUGUAAUAAGCAGCCAAUGAGUUCUCACUGAAGGGGAUAAUUCUCACUGAAACUACUGAAUAAAGCCGCCCGUUAAAAUCAUUGAACGGUUGUGCUCGUGGUUACUGAAGGGAGCUAUGCCCACAUCAUUAAUGAAUAAGAUGUGUGGAAAACUGUUUAGCCAUAGUUAAAGGCCUUUCAUAAAGAGGCUGUCAUGAUUGCAUGUCCCUUAUGUUUAACACGUAUUGCUUGUUACAGAAUACUACUGUUGUACAUUUAAUAUCCCCUAGCAGAUUUCGUUGCCUUUGCACAAAUUCUGUCAUGUUAUUGUGGUCUUUUUAAAAGUCAAUAAAAAUGUGUGUAAAGUG